GGUGAUUAUGUCUCAUCACAGUCUCAGCUGUGGCAGCGUGAGAUGGGGUGCAGGUGAAAGGCCAGAUCCUGGGAGAUCGAGUGGCUGUGGCACUUAGUUGCUACGGCAACGGCAAUGAUUAUCCUGAUCGUGGAGCCCUCUAGCUCUUACUUACCACCCAGCAAGCUUGCAGCAGGAAAAGGAGAAAUCAAUGAUAUAAACAGUCAAUUAAGAGCGUGUGUACAGAGCCAGCUCUCAGGACAGAUGUGUGAGCUUCCAGGUUCCAGGAGUGGACGGAGGCUUGCAAGGUGCAGCGCCAGGUAAUCGCUCAGCCUGAGCAAGUCCAUCUAAGGGCUUGCAGGCCAGGAUGGGAGGCUCACUCGAACACAGGGAAGCCCCCAGGACAAGGCAGAAACAGAGGCCUGUAAUGGAGCACGCAAUCAUCAGGACCCCCUGUUGCGUGACCAGAGACGCAAAAGAACAGCAGCUUUGCCGUGGGUGUAAACUCGCUCCUGCAAUUAUUAAGGGCAAUCAAGAAACAGACUACACAGUAUGGGACCCCAGAGACCAUGGUCUGCUUCUGACUCUUAUCCUGUCUAGUCCUGUGAGUCGCCACUGAAUGUGCUGUGACUCCCACCUGAUCGCUUCACUUGGGUCAUGAUUCUGAACUUCAGAUCUGCAUGGUCAACUGCCUCUUGGGAAACUACAUGUGGUGGGCACUUCGCAAGGACUUCAGAUUCCACAUGGUCAAGGUGAAACUCACCAACGCCUCCAGGAAGCCUUCCCGGAGCCCCCUCCCAGCAGAGCUAUGCUCCGUUUACUUCCACAUUGUGCCCAUCACAGCACCUUCUCUAUUUGCCAUGGGUCUAUCUCCCUACCCAACCGUGAGCUUCUCAAAGGCGGGAGCCUUGGGUUGGCCACUGUGCUGGUCCCUUGCCCAGCACAGUGCCCAGUGCCGGGUGCCAGCCCAGACUCAACAAAUAAUUGUUAAAUGAAAACACAUGUGUAAUAUUGUAAUGAAUGGGAAAAGGAGCCAAUUAAGUUAGCCAUUGUUUCACAACAAAGCAUGGGCUUAUGCAGAUGUAAAUGGGGUGUAGAAGGGCCAUCGGGACACAGAGGCCCAUGUGGGAAUUGUAUUCAGCAUUUCAUUCGAAGCGUCCCCCUAGAAAGCAGUUGAGAGCAGAGGUUUUACCUCUGUGUGGUGGAGGAAAUGAUGCAUCUGGUCUGAUUUCAUUGGACAGAAUUCCACGUCAGCUCAGCCUUACCUGGCACCAGCUUCUGCCUUCUCACCCAGGUCUUGCUCUGUUCUGGGUGCUAGGCAAGUGCAUGUGUGACUUGACUACCAGGACAGCCCUAUGAGGUGAUUAGAGCUGCUCUUAGUCCUCACCCCAUGUUAGAGAGGAUGGCCUCAAGGUCUCAGGGUCCAUGAGUCAGAACUUGACUUGUAAUUUCUGUCUGAUGAAGUUUUUCCUUCCACUGGGGUGUGCUGGCCUCCAAAUCACUGAUGAGCUGACCACGCCUAGUCAGCUGUGCUGUACCUAGGGCCAUCAGGCAGGGAGACGGCACCGCACUGCUCUGGGGACGUUCCAAGCCACCGUCCUCCCCUCCACCUUCUGAUUACCCAGGGCAGGCGUCCCAGUCCUUGGUUACAAGGAUUUUUCUGUCUACUCUACAAUGUGCUGCUCUGAGUCUGCGUGUGUCUUAGCCUAGUGAGAUGCUGGGCUCAUCGCUGGUGAGGAAAUCUCUGAAGGUCCCAGGGGUGAUGAUUUUGAAGAUCAGCUAAAAAGCCCCAAGGCAACCCCACUUUGUGCAUUGUGGUCCCUUGCCUCAGGUGCGUGUGGCUGCCUUCCAUGACAUCGGAUUCAGCUAUAAGUCAGAUGCAGCUGAUACAAAUAGUUUGAAUGGCAUUAAAAUGUCAUUAUCUCUCCUUAUGAAGAGAUCCUUACUCAAAAAAUAUUCAGCCAUGAAA